AUCCCAGCCCAGCUAGUUCUGCCCAUGCAGCAGAGCUCCACAAAAGUGCGGGAAUGUCUGACAGGGAAGAAUCAGAGAAACCUUCACCAGCAGCCCGACAUUCACCUGGACGGACAGUGCACUUUUCUUACGUCUGGGCAGGGAAGGCAGGGCGCACCAUCUACCGCAGGCUAGGAUGAUCACCAACCGCCCCACCGCACCCUGCGCCAGCCCUACGGCGCCCGCGGGCUGCAAGUAGCGGCGACCCAGGAGCAUGCGCGCUGCCGCCCCUGGCCUGCCAGGACCCAGAGGGAGCGGAGCACGCGCCUUUGGGAAUCUUCGGUGCGCCAAGUCUGUUCGCCGCCGGGGUCUAUCACCCCCGCCCCUCGCCUCUGCCCGUGAGCGUCAGCUGGCUUGGCUUUUUCAGAGGAAACAGAGACUCUCAGACAUGAAUACUGUGACACUGACCACCAGGCCAACUUAACAUCAGCAGAUAUCCUGUCUCAGAUGAAGAGACAGUUAAUCAGAGACUUACUCCAACCCAGAAGUUUAUACCAAAAGACUUGAUUAGCGCAAUAAAAGCACUAAAUGAGGAGCUCGGAUUAAUUAUUGAUUUAACAUACACCACAAGAUAUUAUGAAGUUAAGAUGGAGUCUCGCACUGUCGCCCCAGUUGGAGUGUAAUGGUGCGAUCUCGGCUCACUGCAAGCUCCGCCUCCCGGGUUCAUGCCAUUCUCCUGCCUCAGCCUCCUGAGUAGCUGGAACUACAGAUUUUGCAAUUGUGAAUUGUGCUGCUGUAAACAAGUGUGUAAUGGCCUGUCCAGAAGACAGCCAAAUACAUCCUUCAAACAGACUUCACUGCAGGAGACAGAGUGGAUUCAUCCUGUAUUCUCCAUGUAGACUUCCAUCUUCAUGAGUACUCCAAGAAGAUGGUUCAGUUGACUAUUGCAAAGUCUCAGGUAUGUCUUUAUCAGCAGCAUGAAAAUGGACUAAUAGUACCAGUAGAGUGGGGCAUUGCUGAAAAGAUACCCGAAAAUGUGGAAGCAACUUUGGAACUGGGUGUUGAAAUAAUCUGGAGGGCUCAGAAGAAGAUAGGAAAAUGUAGGAAAGUUUGGAACCUCCUAGAGACUGUGAAUGGCAUUGACAAAAAUACUGAUAGUGAUAUGAACAAUAAGGUCCAGGCUGAGGUGGUCUCAGAUGGAGAUGAAGACCUUGUUGGGAACUGAAGUAAAGGUGACCCUUGUUAUGUUUUAGCAAGGAGACUGGCAGCAUUUCACCCUUGCCCUAGAGAUUUGUGGAACUUAGAGCUUGAGAGAGAUGACUUAGGGUAUCUGGUGGAAUAAAUUUCUAAGCAGCAAAGCAUUCAAAAGGUGACUUGGGUGCUGUUAAAAACAUUCUGUUUUAAAAGGGAAACAAGAGCAUAAAUGUGGAAAAUCUGCAGCCUGAUGAUGCAGUAGAAAAGAAAAACCCAUUUUUUUUAAGGAGAAAUUCAAGCUGGCUGCAGAAAUUUGCAUAAGCAGCAAGGAGCCUAAUGUUAAUCCCCAAGACCAUGGGGAAAAUGUCUCCAGGUCAUGUCAGAGACCUUCAUGGCAGCCCCUCCCAUCACAGGCCCAGAGGCCCAGGAGGAAAAAGUGGUUUUGUGGGCUGGGCCCAGGGUCUCUGUGCUGUGUGCAGCCUAGGGACUUGGUGCCCUGUGUCCCAGCUGCUCCAGCCAUGGCUGAAAGGAGCCAACAUAGAGCUUGGGCUGUGGCUUCAGAGGGUAGAGGCCCCAAGCAUUGGCAGCUUCCAUGUGAUGUUGAGCCUGUGGGUGCAGAGAUGUCAAGAAUUGAGAUUUGGGAACCUCUGCCUAGAUUUCAGAAUAUAUAUGGAAACACCUGGAUGUCCAGGCAAAAGUUUGCUGCAGGGGCAGAGCCCUCAUGGGGAACCUCUCCUAGGGCAGUGUGGAAGGGAAAUGUGGGGCAGAGCCCCCACACAGAGUCCCUGUUGGGGCACUGCCUAGUGGAGCUGUGAGAAGAAGGCCACAGUCCCAGAACGGUAGACCCCAGAAUGGUAGACCCCAGAAUGGUAGAUCAACCACCAACUUGCAUCUUGUGCCUGGAAAAGCUACAGACACUCAACAUCAGCCUGAGAAAGCAGCCAGGAGGGAGGCUGUACUCUGCAAAGCCACAGGGGCGGAGCUGCACAAGACCAUGGGAACCUAUCUCUUGCAUCAGCAUGACCUGAAUGUGAGACAUGGAGUCAAAGGAGAUCAUUAUGGAGCUUUAAAAUUUGACUGCCCCACUGGAUUUCAGACUUGCAUGGACCCUGUAACCCCUUUGUUUUGGCCAAUUUCUCUCAUUUGGAACAGCUGUAUUUACCCAAUACCUGUACCCCCCAUUGUAUCUAGGAGGUAACUAGCUUGCUUUUACAGGCUUGUAAGUGGAAGGGACUUGCCUUGUCUCAGAUGAGACUUUGGACUGUGGACUUUUGGGUUAAUGCUGAAAUGAGUUAAGACUUUGGGGAACUGUUGGGAAGGAAUGAUUGGUUUUGAAAUGUGAGGAUUAUGAAAUUUGGAGGAGCCCAGGGAGGAAUGAUAUGGUUUGGCUGUGUCCCCACCCAAAUCUCAACUUGAAUUGUAUCUCCCAGAAUUCCCACAUGUUGUGGGAGGGACGCAGUGGGAGGUAAUUGAAUCAUGGAGGCCAGUCUUUUCUGUGCUAUUCUCGUGAUAAUAAGUCCCACAAGAUCUGGUGGGUUUAUGAAGAGUUUCUGCUUUUGCUUCUUCCUCAUUUUGCUCUUGAUGCCACCACGUAAGAAGUACCUUUUGCCUCCCACCUGAUUUUGAGGCCUCCCCAGCCAUGUGGAACUGUAAGUCCAAUUAAACCCUUUUUGUUUCCAGUCUCAGAUAUGUCUUUAUCAGCAGCAUGGAAACGAACUAAUACAAUCAUAGUUUUUAAAAACCAAUCUAAAUGUAACUAUUGAACAUGAUUAGCUGUUUCAUCCCUAGUAGAGUGACAGAAGGAAACAUCCAUAGACAGGAGUAAUAAGAAACCAGCUAAACUUCUAAACCAUUUUUAAAGGAUGCGUGUGAGCUGGCAUAACCUACCUACUCUUUCCUAUGGGCCUCUACUGAGAGCAUGGAGGUAAUACAUCUAAUACACUGAAGACCAGGGCAAGAGAGCUGGAAGAAAUCCCUCUUAAGCACUCCAGGCCUUCACUGAGUAUGAGGUGCUGGUCUCCAAAGGCAGAGGGCAAGGCAAGGCAGAGAGGGAUCUCCUGGGGCACAGACAACUGACAAAAGAAACACUUGGAUUGUUGUAUAAGAGGAGUGAGCUUUGUAAAUACCACGUUAGCUGGCCUGCUGUGGAACAGAAUGCCUGUGAAUGACAGUAGUCAGGUAGUGGAUGAACACUGAUCUGAGAGCCUGUAAAAGAAACUCUUUGGAAUGAUAAUGUCAUCUAGACCUUUGAUACGCAAAGUGUGAUUCCUGGACAGAUGUAUUGGCUUUACCUGGCAGCUUGUUGGAAAUGUAAAACCUCAGGCCUCACCCCAGACCUACUGAAUUAUUUAUAUUAAUUAAAAUUAAAUAAUUUUUAUUUCAACAAAAUCCCUGGGUAAUUUGUAUGUACAUUAAAUUUUGAGAUGCAUGAUCUUUUAAGGUUCAUUCUAAUCCUUAAAAUUCUGUUUUAAUAAUGUGUACAAUGAAGUGCUGCAUGGCAAACUACACAGAAACUAAAGGCAUGUUCCAAAAAGGAAAAGUUCCAUGUGGCUAGGGGAAUAAAAGCUUCAUCAGGGAACCAGGAGUUGGGCUGGUUCUUAAAACCUGGAGAAAGAAGAUGGUUACAUCAAGAGAUAAAUAGAGUGAAGCAGAACUAGUGGUGCGGACCAGCUCGCCAGCAACAGAAGGGUUUGUAGUCGGCCUGGCAGUGGACAGGGAGGUUGGCUAGAACUAUUACCUUAGGUCCGUGAUAAUAUCCCUGAAUCCAACUUUUCAGAAAGAAAUAGGUAACAUAUUUUUCACCAGGAAGCUUCACCCAGACACUGAACAGAAUGGUCUCAGUGCACUAAUGGAGGCUCAGUUAAAGGGUUGUGGUAGCACAAGGAAGAGACAUUCUGACUUGGAAAUUUGGAGAAGGCUUCACAAAUGAAGGGGCAUUUGAAAUGAGCUUUGAAGGUGCAAGAGUAUUCCAAGUUGAGAAGACAACCUGAGUGGUGUUGGGUGAACAGUCAUUCUACCUGGCUGUAGUGUAGUAUAGUGUAGUGUAGUGUAGGAAACAUCAGAGGAGUGGAGUGGGAUAUGAGCCUGGAGAGAGCUGGCGGCCAUGGAUCAUUGAAAGCCUUGAAUGUCUGAUGGGGAGGUUGACUUUAUUUUGUAGGCAAUGGAAAGCCACCAGUGGUUUUAGUUGAGCAGCAAUGAAAUUAAGCCUGUGCUUUGCAAAGAUUAAUCUAGCAGCAACAGAUUGGAAGCAACACCACCAUUCCUGGUAUCAGUCCAGGUAAAAUAUAUUACAGCUCUUUACUGGAGCAAUAACAGUAAUAUUAGAAGGAGAAAUAAAAAAGAAAAAUAUUGCACAGGCAGAAUGGGGAGGUCCCAGUGAUGGAGCUGAUCUUGGUUCAUUGAGGCAGGGGUGGCAUUAAUCAUGUAAAACACAGGAGGAGGAACUGGGUUAGGAGUAAUGGUAGAGUUCAGUUUAGGUAAUUGCAAAUACACACUAUUCCCUGACUAGCUCCCAAGACUUUUUCUUCCCUCUCUUCUUAGAACUUCAUUAGAAGAGGUGAUGUUAUUUCUUAGAUGAGAGUAUCUUACUUACCAUUGACUAAUACAUGUUCUCUGAUGAACUUUGCUAUUCAACAUACAUGCAAAGGGGUUAUAAAAACAAGUCAACUCUAGUGCUGAUGAGGGUGAUCAUCAUCACUGAUCAUGGUGUCAGUUGAUUAUAGUGUCAAUUUAUAACUUAAUUUAUGUAAAAUAGAGCAAUGCAAAAGACAUAGCAAUCUUCACUUCAAAUGAAGAGUCUUGAAUGCCACUUUUCUAAAGAGAAGGCUCAUGGAGGCACCUCCUCACUAUUGAAAAAUCCAUUAUACCUGUGAUAAAACUGAUUGUGUUCAGUUGUAUUAGAUUUGUAUGCAAAUAAAAAGUUGGGUAAUUAGCUAUACAUUGUCCUAAACGUAUAAAAUAAGAAAAAUACAUAGAUGUAUGGUUUCCUAGGACAUCUACCAGUUUAGAAUGCGAGGCUAAUGUGGGAGCUGCCACAGCAUCCUGAUUAAGGCUAUGGAAAGAAGUUGCAGACUGAUGAUGUCUUAGAAGUAAUGACAUUUUUUAAAGAUAAUAUUUCUUUGGUGAGAUAAACAGAUUAUAUUUUACAGUAAACACAUUUUAUAUUUCAGUUAAUAAGACAUUGUAUAUUAAAUAAUCGCAUUUAAUGCUUUACUUUUUUCCUGUGUUAAAAUUAAUCACUCAUGGCCUUGGCCAUAUGACUUUGCCAUUCCUCCCACUGUUUAUCUGACUUGUUUAUAUUUUAUUGAGCUUGCUCAUAUGACUUACAAUAGCCUGUGACAGAAGUGACAGGAGACCCCAUCCUGACCAAGACCUUAAGAGGCAUCCUAGUUUCCUCUCACUUUCACGAGCCUCUGCGGGGUUCAUCAUGAGAACAUAUCCCUAGAAACCACUGGACAAGGAGAACAAGAGGUAUAUGGAAUAGGUCUGAUCCACCCUUACCACCUGAAGUAGAGCUGCCCAGCUGGCUUGCAGACUCACAAACAUGAAAAUCAAUGUUUACUGCAGCAAUUCAUGAAACUUUGAGGCUGUUAUAAAAAGUAAAGGACCUAAUACAAAUGGAAAGAAACAUGGUUAGUAAGCAAAGCUAGUUAUGAGCAGCUGUCAUGUUCUAACAGUUGGAAUUUGAAUCAGAGCAACUAUUGGUAUUUGAAUCAGAGAGGGGCCAGACCAGUUUGGGUGAAACUCAGUUCAUCUUUUAAACUGACAAUAAAGGGAAUAUAUUUUCAUAGUAAUUUUAUCAUUAUGUGGCAAACUUUGUUCUGUGAGCUAUUAAAAUAUUCAUCUUGGCCAGGUGCAGUGGCUUACGCCUGUAAUCUCAACACUUUGGGAGGCCAAGGCAGGAGGAUUGCUUGAGGGCAGGAGUUCGAGACCAGCCUGGACAACAUAGGAAAACCCUGUCUCUACAGAAAAAAAAAUAGCUAGACAUGGUGGUGCACACCUGUAGUCCUAGCUACUUAGGUGCACACCUGUAGCCUUGCUUGAGCUUGGGAGGUCGAGGCUGCAGUGAGCCAUGAUCAUGCCACUGCAUUCCAGCCUGGGCAACAGAGCAAGACUAGCUCCAAAAAAAAAAUCAUCUUUAUUUUAAUAUUCAAAUUUACAUUUUGAGUAUGGAAUGUAAGCAUCAAGAAUUAAUCUUUAAAUCCAGAUGAAACUUUCCCAAGGUCUCUUGUCAUGCAUCUUGGACUGAAUAACAGGCAUCCCUGCCUUCACAUCUUCAUGGGAAGGCAACAAAACCUGAGGAAUACAACCUAGGAUCUCAAAAGCUUUUUUAGGAAUAAUGUCAUAUAUAAUAAAUAAUAGCAAGAAUGUUACAGCAUCUAUAGCUCUUUAAACUACCUCCCAAGGGAAAGACAAUGAGGGCUUAGUUCCUGUGUCUUUUAAACUUUAACUUUACGUGUAUUUUUUUGGACAUGUGCUGUCCAGUAUGGUAGCUACAAGCCACAUGUGAGGUGAACACACAGCUAGUCCUAAUUAAGAUGUGCUGUAAAUGUAAUAGACACAAAAUAUUUUGAAAAUUUAGUAUGAGAAAAAUAUUAACAAUUUUUAUAUUGAUUCCUUGAUAGUAUUUUGGAUUUAGUUGCUUUCUGAAAACUCUCCUGUGUUACCCAGUUUGAGUGUACCAUACCAUCCAUCUCUUGCAGGGACCUUGACUGAUACAACAUUAAAAUGAAGUGUAAUUUUAAAAAAUUUUAUUUACAUAUUUCUUAUUAAGAAUUGGAUGAAUUGAAACUUCUUUAUUUUCUUUCUCUUUCUUGUCACACAGAAAGCCUGAUUAAGUAGCAUUAUUCUUUUGUCUACAGAAGUAACCACUUCUGGCCAGGCAUGGUGGCUCACUCCUGUAAUCCCAGCACUUUGGGAGCCCGAGGCAAUAGGAUCACCUGAGAUUGGGAGUUGGAGACCAGCCUGGCCAACAUGGUGAAACCCUGUCUUUACUAAAAAUACAAAAAUUAGCCGGGUGUGGUGGUGGGCACCUGCAAUCCCAGCUACUCGGGAGGCUGAGGCAGGAGAAUUGCUUGAACCCAGGAGGCGGAGGUUGCAGUGAGCCGAGAUAGCACCACUGCACUCCAGCCUGGGCAAUGGAGUGAGACUCUCUCUCAAAAAAAAAAAAAAAAAAAAAAAAAAGUAAUGACUUCUGCUGAUCUUUUUUCUCCCCUAUAGGUUCAUAGAAAAAAAACUCCCACCUUAUAAAGGAAUCUUUAAAAGGUUCCUCAUAAAGGAACAGGGUUAGCAGAACCAAGUUUUGAGUCCUGGGUGAAAAUCCAGGGGAGAAUGGUAAUCAGUGAUAACCAAUGGCCAAUCCAAUAUUAAAAUUAGUUAACAGUGACCAAUCUUAUUUCACCUACCCCACCCAGAGUGGCCCAAAGCAGAUUGCUGGAUCUGCCUCUAAACCAACCUUCCUGCCAAAAUAAUUGGGGUUAGGUUGUGUCUGCUGAUUGUCUCCAUAAUUUGAGAUUUUAACAAGUUGAGUUUGGCUCCCAAAUACCUUAAAGGAUUUUUUUUUUGGCAUCUCUGGGGAGGGGGAGAUUGGACGUAGGCAACCAAACAGGAAUGGAAUAAGAAAAGAUUUGUGUUCUCUGAAGGAGACUUGUGAAGUCUAAUUCCAACUUGCUGAGGGAAAGUGUUUAGAAAAGAAAAAGCAAUAGGCUUCAACCAGAAGACAUGAGUUGGAGUAUCUGCUCUGCCAUGUAGUAGUUUGUGUGAUCCUCAUUUGUAAAAUGGAAAUACUAUUUACACCCUUAUGGGUUGUUGUGAGGGUCAGAAUAGAUUGUGUGCAUGACAGUGCUUUGUAUACGCAGACAGAAGGAAAAAAGCGGCUGUUAUUGGCUCAACUUAUUUGACCUUUAUUUUCAUCAUCAUCGGCCACUAUUUGAUGUCAAUCUACUAUGCUGUGAGCAAACAUUAAAAUUAGGAAGCCAGGGGUAUGGGAACCACUGAUUAGCAUCAUAUGCCAGAUGUGCUUCCAUCCAAAGCACAUGAACAGAAUGAUAUUAAAUUACAAGCCUAUCAGGAACAGACCAGCUUUCUGCCUCCCUUUCUAUGAAUACCAAGUCCCAUGAACCUUGUAUUCAUGUGGAGUUUUAAGUGCAUGCUUGGAAGUUAUGAGGAGACAGCCUGGUAUGUUCGGGAAAGAAAAUAAAGGUUAGGUACAUGGUAGGCUUUGGCUCAGCCAUUUGGGCAAAUGACUUAACCUCUCUGAACCUCAGUUUCUGUUUCUAUGAAGUGGGAAUUGUAAUACCUACCUUCUUCAGAUUGUUGUGAGGAUUAAAUGAGAAGAUGAAUGUAAUACCCUUGAGCACACAGCGUGGUACACCACAAAUGCUCAACCAACAGCAGCGAUGACAGUAUAGGCAACUACCACAAGAAAGAAUUUGAACAUGUCCCAAUUCGAAUUUUGAUUCCUAAUCAAGAUCUAGUGAAUUUAACCUAAGUAGCAGAAAAGAAGAUUAAGAGUUCCUUUCCACAGCUUUAUUAAGUUUUUAUAUUCACCUGGAUGUUGUCAAAAGUGACUUGAUCAUUCAAGAGAUAGGGGACAUUUGGCUUCCGGUUUGUGUGAGAGCUUUUCUUUCCCCAUCAGCUCAACAGUCAGUCCCCAGAUCUAGAGAUGGAGAGCUUGGGACAAGGUCAGAAUGAAACAUCACCAGUCAAUCCUGCUCAACAGGUAACUCUUGCAGCAAUCCUUAAGGAAAGGGGUGCAGGGUCUCUUCAUGUUUCCAUGGUAAGGUCUAUAGCUGCUGCUUCAUGGAAUAAGCAAACAAAGCCCAUGUUGUGUGACGGGUGGCAACACUUUCAGACUUGGAUCCUGCACAUUCUGAUGUGUAAAUUCCACGAUAGGGCAAAAGCAUGCCACUCCACACUAAUGCUGCCCUCUCACUAAAUUAAACCUUGGAAAAAUAAGAUGUGGCUUGGCUUUAAAACUCAGUGAACUAUCUUUAUGGUACAGUUGGUUUCCAUAGCUGUAAACACAAAAGAUCUAUGGUUUCUGCCUACCCAGGAUAGUCUUGUCUCUAGACAAUGUAUUGAUGAUGCAAAUGUUCUGGAACUAAAUAGUGGUGAUGGUGGCACAACACUGUGAAUGUACUAAAUGUCACUGAUUUGUACGUAUUUAAUAUGAAUUAAAUGUUAAAAUGGUGAAUUAUAUUUAUGUAUAUUUUACCAUAAUAAAAAUAUGCAUUGGAAGAUGCAUUUUUUGUGACCCUGAGUUGUAACUGUAUUUUUAUUUGUGACAUGUAUAUACCACCUACCUCAUAGUAAGCCCUGAUGUUUGAAUGCAUAUAUUUACAUCUGCUUUUUGCAAAUCUCAGGUCUGAGUGUUCCACUCUGUAGCAUUUGGGUAUCACCUAGGAAUAUGUGAUUUAUUGACAUACCUGCUUUGGGUGGGAUUGAGAACUGUAUUGACUGCAUGAGCACAUAUAUUUCCUUAUAAAACUCUUUGGCUUUAGCACAUAUUUGCCUACUGUAGAAAAUUCUCCUACCCACAGAGCAGGCUGGGAAUGGAAUGUGUGUCUGCCUUCUCCAAAGGCAUCAUAUGGCUUUCUUAAUGGAUGGCAAACAGGAGAGAGAAAGGGGUUCUUAAAGAGUACAACUGAACCAGUUCCUGAGAUUCUUCUUUCAGCCAGCUCAGCCUCCUAUCACAGGACUCAAGACUCUCAGUUCUUCUAGACAAAGUCAAUAUUGUUCUUUUAUAAAGCAAAGAUUAUGAAAGGUGUCAGGUCUUUAAAACCUAUACAAGCACAAAGUACAAAGGAGAAAGGUGUAGCUGGGAAAAACUCAUGAAAGAGACAGUAUCUGCCGAAGUCCUUGAGGCAAAGGAUAUUGAAUACCUCCAAAAGAAAGGCUUCAGUAAAAGCCAAGGAAGCUUCACACUCGUCAAGACUGGCCCUGGCAGACAGGGAAGGAUGGCCUUGAACACUGCGAUGGAGGAAAAUGCUCCCUGGACGAUUUUUUUCCUCACUCCAGCCAGCAUAUUUCAGCUGCUUUUGCUAUACCAUAUCUUUCCAGAAAUAUGAAGGCUUGUGAAAGAUAAGCAAGCCUAUGAUGGCCACUGUGAAAAGGACCAGGGAGAAUAGAACCAUGAGGAAGACAUAGGUGGAGUGGGAGAGAGGUGUGGACAAUGGUUGCUCAGCUGGGAUCAUGUUGGUCAGGUUCAGCAUGUAGCCCAAAGUCCAGCCGGCGUCGCUGCCCUGGAUCUGCAAACAGUGGGGAAAGUCUGUUUGUGGUUGGAGGAGUUAGAAGAGUUAUCACCUAGGGCUUAGAAUUAUUGGAUCAUGCAUUGGAAGAGUUCAAACAAUAUAAAUCACUGGCUGGGCACAGUGGCUCAUGCCUGUAAUCUCAGCACUUUGGGAGGCCAAGGAGGGAGGAUCACUUGAGGCCAGGAGUUUGAGACUAGCCUGGGCAACAUAGUGAGACCCUGUCUCUCUAAAAAAUAAAAUUAGCUGGGCACGGUGGAACAUGUCUGUAGUCUCAGCUAUUUGGGAGCCUGGGUGGGGAGGAUCAUUUAAUCCCAGGAGUUUGAGGCUUCAGUGAGCUGUGAUCAUACCACUGCACUCCAGCCUGGGUGACAGCGUGAGACCAUGUCUCUUAAAAAAAAAGUAUAUACACACACAUACAUCAUGACUACCUCGUGUGUCAGUCCUAAAUUUGACAUAGGUAUAAUCUUUCAAACAAAAUAAACUGCUGGAAUUAAAGGAAGUCUGGAAUAUUAUAACAAGGAAAAGAUUUAAGUUUGAAUUAGCAAGAUCAGCACUGACAAGAGUGUAAGGACACUGUUAUCCUCAGGCCUGCUACAGCCCUCUGUCUCAAUGCUUUGUUUUGCUUGAAAUCACCAUAUUUAAUACAGGGGGUAAAAUGUUUUCCCCACUAGUGAGCAUGGGCUUAAAAAGGUAGAGACACACUGCUCUGGGUAUUUUUGGUCAAGCAUGAGUCGCUCAGCUGGGUUCUCUAUUCCUGGAUACCUGCAGGUGGUGCUAUGGUAAAGCACAGCAUUGAGGUUGCUUCUUCCGGACUCAGGCUAAGCCUGGCUUCUAAACAACGGUCUCAUCAUUCACAGCCACUCAGUCCCCUUCUUCACACAGAGCUUUCAGAUUGGUCAACCUUGAAGUAAUAACCAACAAGGAUGAUGAAACCAUGAUCAUACUUUCCCAGCUUAUGGAAGGGGCCUUUCAGAGGGCUGCUGAAGUCAGCACACAGAGUCACUGUAGCUGCUGAAAUGCUGUUACUUUAAUAUAUCUCGUUUUGUGUUUUGUUUUGUAAGGAAUUAGUCACUGUUAUGUGGGAAGGUGCAACUGAAAAUGCAAGUAGCUGUCCUUAGCGAGGAUGCUCACAGUGGGCCAACAGACCCAGGAGGGCUUGACACAGAAUGCCAGGGUUUGAAGCAGAAUGGCAGAACAGGACAUCAAGCCAAAGCUACACCAUGCUGACUCCCCCCUUUUUCAAGCCCCAAACUGCUUCAGUCACUACCACCGAACCCCAACCUCCCCCCAGCCCAACAGGCCCCCAAAUUACCUUGCCAAUGAAAUGGAUGUGCUCCCAGGAAUCAGCUGUGAAAUGAUAGCCUUGCAGAAGGAGGGAGAGAAUGUAGGUACCAGAAAAGCAGUAUUCACUCAGGUACUUCUCCUUUACUCCAGCGUAAGAUGUUUUUAUCUAGAAGUGAAGUGAGGGGGAGAUCAUACUCGUAUGAUAGGCACCUCUCUGUGGCCCUCUUUUUCUCUACUAGCCCUGAUGAAGAGAGGGGAAAGCCCCAGCUCCAGUGCACCUGAAGGUUGGCCUCUUCCAGAGGGUUUUGGGGGUGGUGCUGCACUCCUUCAGUGGGAGCAGGGUUUUAUAGUUUAGGGUCUCUUAAGGAAGCUUUUCCUGCACAGGCUUCUAUGAGAUAAUAACAGGUCCUCCAGGAAAAAAGUAGUUCCUGUGGUCUAGUAGGUUCUGAAACACUAAAUUUCAGUACCUCUGUUCAUGCCCUAGACUUUGUUUAAUCUGAGUUUUCUAUAUGCUCUUGACCAGAGCCUUUGGCCCACAGCCAUAAAAAGCCUUACCACUCACUUUAGUCCCUGGACUGGCAGCAUCAGCAUCACUUGGGAGCUGGUUAGUCCUCACCUUAAAACUACCAAUUCAGAAUCUGCAUCCCAAUAUGAUUCCCAGGUGAUUCACGUGCACAGUAAAGUUUGAGAAACACAGCUGUGGACACAGUUUAGGCAGCAUUUUGCUGAGGACUGCUAGCACUGCCAACAUCUCACCUUCUAUCUUCUGUCUUAAUGUCUUUUUUUGCAUCUGAGUCAUGCAAAGUGGUUGUUUCCUUGAGUCCUUCCUAUGUUUACUCAUCCUACUCCCUACUAAAAAUAUUAAGAGCUGCUUGCCAUCCCUUGCCCUUACCUAGCCUAGCUGUUGUGAAUAUACACCCAGAUACCCACAGCCUGCUCUGCAACUCUCCUGCCCUCAAUUUGAGGACAACAGGCCAGGACCUCUCUAGUUCAGCCUGGACUUCUGUCUGCUGCCCCAUUCCUCAGCCCUUCAGAUAGGCAUUCCCUCCUGGAUACCCUCGGCAGAGAGAGAACAUUUGUUAUGCAUGCAUCAUGUACCAUCUGGAACUAUGCCAGAUGUUUUAUAUGUAGUAUCUCCUUGAUGCCUAAACCACACCCCUCUUUUCCCAGAUUUCUCUCCCUUCCGUGGGUCCUAACCCAUAUGCAAAUCCUAACCGCUGGCUGGGGUCUGUUUCUCACUUGGUUCUUGCCUGUCCCCAGUUUCUGGAAGGAUAAGUCCAUAACUAGACUGCCUUGUCUUGCUCUGAUGAAAUUCUCAGAAUGACCCAGCUUGGAGCUUGUCUUUUCAGCACAGUUCUGGAAAUUAUCCUUUGAUUGAUUCCUCUGCAUGUGACAUCCUCUUGAGACCUUGGUGUGGACAUCAGUUGGCAUUGCCUGUCCAGGUUCCUACCCCUUCCUUUCAGUCACUGCAUUCUGCUUUCCCUUUGUGAAAAGACCUCCUCCCCUAUUGAAGUAGUCUUGGGCCUGUCAAUUGAAGGAUGCCUAUGGGACACAAAAUCCCAAGAAUCUACUUAGGUCCAACUUGAAAGUGCUGAGCCCCUGUAGGUCCUUGAAGGCUGGCCUAUCCCUUGUGGGGGGCUGGGAGAUGCCAUUUUGGCCUAAUUUCCCUGAAUUCUUUAAUACUCCUAUUCCCCUCCUCCUUCUGGAAAUCUGUACAUUGGCUAUGCAGUCUGGCCUCCUGAAGGUUAUGAUAGUAGCCAAAAAUAUAGAAGCCAAAAAGGCAUCCACCUUCUUCAUCAAUCCAGAAUUGAUCAUGCUCAUGCCUGUGGGUGGAUCACUAUGUGCUCUCCAAAUUGGGAGGGGAAGUCUACUCUCCUCUCUCCUCUCUCUCCCACCUUCCCCUCUCUCUUCUCUCCUUUCUAUUCCCAGGGCAGUGGAACAUGAUGAGGUUCUUUUCUCUUCAUGGAUAUCCUCUUUCUGCCCUCCACAUAAAGGGGCAUUGAUGGAUCUUCAAGAAUGGGAUGCCUUUCCCUAGAAAGGCUAAAUAUUCAUGAGGCUGAAUGUGAGGAUCCAGAGUACACUGAAAUAUAACUGGUCAUCAGUACACAUAGAAUCUGAUCACAUUGUUCACUUGGGCUGACCAGAUCUUGGAUGACCAGAUUUUCAGAGUAGAAAAUUGGCUGUGUUCUGGCUGCUGAAAGAUUCUACUAGCCCUCUAAUGAAGCUGCCAGAAGACAACCAUGGAGUCUCCCUUCCACUCACUCUCCUGGUCCCUCCACUUCAGAGACCCAAUGGCUUCAGGUACCUGACUGAGUGUCAGCAGGUGUGGUUUGCAUUUUAUUUCCCUUGCCAAAGCAGGGGAAGGCAGCAUGAUAGGAUAUGCAUAAAGCACAGCAAGCAAAUGUCCACCACUGUCAACACAUAGUACAUGCUUAAACAUUGUUAAUUAUCUCUCUACCAAAGGUGUUUAGGAGGAACAUUCCCAAACACAAGCCAUACUGGAGUAGCAGUCCAUGAUGAAGUUAGGAGGGAAAGAAGAAAGAGUCACCUUCUAACAAUGUACUUGACAAAACUAUGCUUUCUACCUGGGUGGACGAUGCAGCUUGGGAAAGUGAACCCUGGGUCAUAACAUCCACCUCAAUGCUGUAGGCUCUGGGUGAAGACAGGGGUCUAACCCUGCAACCCCUUCCCCAAAUGCUUCAGGAAUUCUCCCAAAUGCAGGCCCUUCUUAGCUUACUUCCAGGGCCUCUGAACAACUCCCCACAUGACUUACCUGAGCAGAACUACAGGUCUAAAUAUAAGCAUUCCCAGCCUAACAUAGUCUUAUGAAGUAAAACAUGAGAUGUGGAUAAGAGAGGAAACCUGACAGAACUUUUUUUUUUUUUUUAAUUUUUGAGAUGGAGUCCUGCUCUGUCACCCAGGCUGGAGUGCAGUGGCACAAUCUCAGCUCACUGCAAGCUCCGCCUCCUGGGUUCAUGCCAUUCUCCUGCUUCAGCCUCCCAAGUAGCUGGGACUACAGGUGCCCAC
rnacentral:lncRNA from 1 species